CGCACUAAAAAUGGUAAAGUAAUUUCUUAAUCAGUUUUGGUUAAUUAAUACAAAUACGUUCCUUUCAACCUUGGAUUCGAAAACAUGUAAAAAUGGUCUAGUAGGGGGAAAGCUUUUCCCUUUAGUUUUUCAGAUGGGUUUUGGUUCGAAAGCUGGGGGUUUUCACCUAAUAGCAUUACCACUUGAAUGGCUGAUUUCCAAAGGUCUAGUCUUUCUGAUAGGGACAUUGAUCAGGCCAUUGCAGCACUUAAGAAAGGAGCAAAACUGCUAAAGUAUGGGCGCAGGGGAAAACCAAAGUUCUGUCCCAGAGUACCUUCGUGGAUGCUGCCACUGAAUGUUCAUAGUGUAUUUCAAUAUUAACUAUUUCAAGUCUUCCUUGUAUGCCAGAUUUUUUUAACAUUCUUAAUUGACUUAGAAUUAAUAACUGUGAAACUAAAGAUCAUGUCUACUUAGAAAAUA